AAACAAGGGGGGCUUGUAAAUUUUGUUUUUCCUUCUAGAAAUUAGUGCUUUGUAGGUAAGCAUUCUACCACCACUGAACCACAUCAUUCACAACCUAAUUCUGUGAUUAUAUUCGUUUUUUGAUAUUCAUUUUUGGUAUUACCAUUUGUUUCUUGAGAUGCAUGUCUUUUUCCUUUAGUGGAAUUUGUUUCUUAAAUAAUGACGGUAAGAGUCUGUAAAACUUGCACUUAUUAAAUAACUGGCUGUGACCGAAUCCUGAGUCAUUUUGCAUUUCUACAUUCCACUUAAUAACUUUGAAAAAUAACGUGUUCCAUUGAGAAUCAUUCAUCUAGGUUAUGGACUCUCCCAGACCUCUUCGAGGAGGAUGCUUUUUAUCUUAUCAGGAUAAAUGUCGAAACGGACUCAGUAGUAACUGUAUUUCUUCAUUUCUUGUGGGAGCAUUUGAGGAUAUCUCUAAUUUAAACUGCUUUAAUAACAACAGUUGCAAUUUAUUGAGCACUUACUAUAAAUGCCAGGCACUGGACUAUGACGUUUUGGGGGGUGGGGGUUAAUAGGCUUUAUUCUUUAGAGCAGUUUUAUGUUCCCAGCAAAGUUGAGUGGAAAGUACAGAGAUUUCCCGGACAGCCCCACACAUGCAGAGCCCCCCUCACUAUCAGCGUCCCCCUCCAGAGCGCUGCAUUCGUUACAGUUGGUGAACCUACAGUGACCUCUUACAAUCACCCAUGGUCCCUAGUUUACUCUGGGGGUCACUACUGCUGUUGACCUUCUCUGGGUUUGGACAGAUAUGUACCCACCGUGACAGUAUUAUACAGAGUAUGUUCACUGCCCUAAAGAUCCUCAGUGCUCUGCCUGUUCAUCCCUUCACCCAUCCCUCCCAUUUCUCCACCCCUUGGCAACCACUGGUUUUUUUUUUGUUGGUGUUGUUUUUGUAUUGUUUCCAUAGUUUUGCCUUUUCCAGAAUGUCCUGUAGUUGGAAUCAUACAGUGUCUAGCUUUUGUGGCCUGGCUUCGUUCACUUAGUAAUACACAUUUAGGUUUCCUCCUUGUCUUUUCAUGGCUUGAUAGUGCAUUUCUUUUGAGUGAUGCAUAAUACUCCCAUUUUCUAGAUAUACCACAGUUUAUGUGCUCACUUACUGAAGGACAUCUUGGUAACUUCCAAGUUUUGGCAUUUAUGAAUUAAGCUGCUAUAAAUAUUCAUGUUUUUGUGUGGAUGUAAGUUUCCAGAUCCUUUGGGUGCGUGAUUGCUGAGUUAUGGUAGGAGCACGUUUCAUUUAUAAACUGCCAAACCAUCCUCCCCAGUGGCUGUGCCAUUUUGCGGGUCUGCCAGCAAUAAAUGAGAGUUCCUGUUGUUCCACAUCAUCUCCAGCAUUUGCUGCUGUCCGUGUUCUAGAUUGUGACCAUUAGAAUGAGUCGUUUUAUUUUGUGUUUCCCUGCUGACCUGAUGUGGUGCUUUUUAAUACAUGUUUUCAUAGUCCUCACCACAGCCGUGCAUGGUGCCCUUCUAGACGGGGAGAGCACAGCAGGAGUCAGACCAGCGGGCUUGCCAGUGGUCUCUCCUCUCUCAAAGUUGAAACCUAGAUAAAGUUAAGUUCUGCGUUCAUAAAGCUUUUAAAGUUUAAUGACAUGUUUGAAGAAUGUUAAUGACAUACUCAGUUUUAGACAUUAAUCUUGCAAAGGCCUCUGCACCCUAAUUGAGGGUCAUCUUUUGUGUCUAUUUUGACAGAAUAAUGAGAUGAAUUUAAAUUUUAUUGUUAGGUGACUUGUUUUCUUCCUUUCAAAUUAAGCCUUUUAGAACAAAACUAUAUUUUUUCUAGUUGCAAAAGUAACACAUGCUCACUGUAGAAAAAGUGAAACAAUAGUAAAACACAAGGAAUAAAAUAGAAUGAGUGAUCUUCACUAUCCAGAGAUCACUGGAGUCCUGUAGCUUUUAAUUUCUUCAGGGAGACCAUAAGGAGAUUAAGGGACAGUCUAUUUCAGCUGGCCAUCAGUGUGGGAACACUGGAUCAGACAGUGGCUUUUCUGCUCUAGGUCUCAGAGCAGGUGCUAAUUUGUUCUUGGAUGUUUUAGAGUGAAGAGAAACUAUUUGAAAUUUUGGACCUGAUCUUCCCGUACUGAUUUCUUCUUACUGGAAACAUGAAGAAACCUGGAGAGGGAGAAAUUCAUCUGAGCAAAAUGUAUUUUUCUUUCCUGGUGGUGUUAUUUUACAUACAUAAAACUGCAAAGAAGUAGCUAGAAUGAGCCUUUUAGAUAUGAGAAGAUCUGGGGAAUAUAAGAGAGGAAAUUAAUGUCUUUUUUUUUUUUAAUGAUUUUUGUUUUAAAAAGGAGGGAAGCCUCGGGGCGCCUGGGUGGCUCAGUCGGCUAAGCGGCUGCCUUCGGCUCAGGUCAUGAUCCCAGGAUCCUGGGAUCGAGCCCCGCGUCGGGCUCCCCGCUCAGCGGGAAGCCUGCUUCUCCCUCUCCCUCUGCCUGCCACUCUGCCUACUUGUGCUGUCUCUUUAUCUCUAUGUCAAAUAAAUAAAUAAAAUCUUUAAAAAAAAUUAAAAAUUAAAAAAAAAAGGAGGGAAGCCUGUAUAAAUUAUCGCAGAUUUCCCCCCAUCUGUGUUCCUUAAAACAUUAAUAUAUUCAGAUCUGUUCAUAGAUGAUCCAUGGCCAAAAAAAGGUAAGUGGUAAAAUAAGUUUAGGAAAAUGCUUGAAAUGUAGUCUACUUUCAGAGGCUCCUGAGAGACAUACUGAGAUUCUGAGAGCUUUAGGAUUAAGAACUUGUUCUAUGUAGAUUAACCUGUGGUUUCCCAAAUUCAUUUGACCAUGUAACCCUUUCAUCACAGCUUAGUGUGUAACAGCACAAGGGAGGAACUUUAGGGCCAGAUUUGGGGACAUAGUGUUAGGAAGUGGAACCUUGGUGAGGCAAAUGGAAUCAAAGCAGACAUGAGAACAGUGAGCAAUGGCUUUAUGUUGUAAGUAGACACAUAAAAAAGCCGAGUAAUCUGGGAAACUAAAUUGGUAUAGUACUUCGGAGAGAAAUUUGGCAUUAUGUGAUAUCAUUAAAGAACUCCUACACUGUGAUCCAGGAAUUUCAUGCCUGUAUACGUCCUCUAGAGUACUUCCCAGACUCCAGUGUGCAUGCAGUACAGAGCACCUGGGCAUUUUGUUAAAAUGCAGAUUCCAAUUCAGCAUAUCUGGGGUACAGCCUGAGAUUCUGUAUUUUUAACAAAUUCCCAGGUGAUGCUAAUGCCUCUAGUCCACAGCUAUUGCUUUGAGAAACAAGGAAGACAGGAAACCUAGGUUUCAGUCCCCGAUUUUUCCACUGACUUGCUCGGUGACAUAGGACAAGCUGCCUCCUGUCUAGGAAGGCCUCUUGUGACUCUAAACCUCGGUUCUAUGGAAGGCCUUGAAUCCCCGUCGUGGAGGACAACCACUGUUAGCCCUUCUUACGAGAUCUCCCACUUUCUGCCUCCAGCUGUAUGGGAGCCAAUGGGGAGAUUUCAUGUACUUACACAAGCAUUUGUGGCCCCUCUCUGUCAUCCUCCAGGCCCUUGUUACUCUUGUGUGUGCAUGGGAAACACACAAGAGUAUUCAUGGCAGCAUCGUAACAGCAAAUUACUGGAAACACCCAGCUGUCCAUCCCAGGAGAAUGGAGUGAUUGUGGUGUAUUUAUUCAGCAGUUAACGGUCAAUGAAUUAAAGCCACAUGUAUUUACAUGACUAAAUCCCAGACACAUAAUAAUGAGCAUAAAAGAGUAAGUCGUAGAAGAAUAUGUACAAAUAGCAUUUGAAUGAAGUUAAAAAAUGCAAAACAGUAGUUGCCAUAUAAGCAUAUAUAUAUAUAUAUAUAUAUAUAUGAAUAAAAUAACAAAAGCAUGUAUUAGAUUAACAAAUACCAAAUUUUGGAAUAAUGGGUCUUCCUGGAAAGGGGCUUUGUGGAGGAGGGGAAUUUAGGAUCAGAGAGAAGUAAAUGAGGCGGUUCGGACAUGUCUGUCAUGUGUCACUUCUUAAGCUGAGGGUUGAGUACAUAGAUGUUCAUUACAUUCUCUCUAAUUCUUGGGCUUUGAAAGAUUUCAAAGUAAAAAUCGUAAGAAAACCUCUGUAAAGGAUUAAAAAGUAAACAGAAGAGUGGCACUUCUGGGCUGUGACCAAGCGAGGAGAUCACCGGAUUCUCUUCUCAAAAGAAAGCAACUCUAAAACUGGACAAAACUGACAAAGCAACCACUUCAGUGUUCUGGAAAUCAGCCAGAGGCAGACAGCAGUCUGAGGCUCAUUUAUGCCUUGAACAACUGCCAGACUUUAGGUAGGAACAAUGAGAAGCUGUGGUGUUUGGCCCAGGGCUGCUUCCCACACGCCCCAAGCCGUGUCGUAUGAAGUUUCUGCCGGGGCAGGGUGGGUGGCAAGGAUGGAGGGCUUGCCCUGCAGUGACGGAAGGGUGGGUGACACCCAUGCCCAACAUUGUUGUCUCUAGAAGUGAUGUCUCAGGGACAGGAGGGUGGGGAAAGGCCAGGGUCUGUCUCUCCCAGCCCAGGGCUGCAGCCAAGUGUGUUGUUGUCUGAGACCACAUGCUCCGUGGUGAUCUCGGAGCUGAAGCUGUUUACACCCCUGCGUGACCUUGAGACUGUGUGCAUGCAGGUAGGAGACAGAUGGGACUUGCAGAAGUAGCCCAGGCGGGAUUGGAAGUGGCCACAGCUUUGAACAAUGUUCUCUCCCUACACCCAGAUCCAUUAGCAGAUGGUAUCAGCCUUACUGAUCAGAGAUGUUUGAGCACCCAUGUCCAGUAACUGGCUGACAGCUAGUCUUGAAAGAAUAUUAAAUAAGAAACGGAGCAGGGACAUCGUCGAUGGCUGCACACGACAGAGGAAGCAGACCUCACAGGUCUAGCCUGGCCAUGCUACUAAACAAAGCAGGCAAACAAGGUCACAGCAGCAAACUUAAGGGCAAAAAAUGCAGAGUUGUGACAUUUUAUUGUCUGAAAUGUCUGGUUUUCAGCAAAAGAUGACAAGCUAUACAACGAAAUAUGACAGUGUGACUCAUACUCAGAAAAAGAGUCUGCAGGGGCAGGUGGCUCAGUCGGUUAAACAUCUGACUCUUGAUCUCAGCUCAGGUCUUGAUCUCAGGGUCGUGAGUUCGAGUCCCUCUUUGGGCUCUGCACUGGGCAUGGAGCCUAUUUAGAAAAUAAAUUAAUAAAAGAAAAGUCGGCAGAAGCUGCUUCUGAGUAUUCCCAGAUGCUGAAUUUAGCAGAGAAAGACCUCAAUUAAUGUAUGUUCAGAGAACUAAAGGAAAUGAUAUUUAAAGAAUUAAAAAGGAAAAUAUGACAACAUGAAUGGUACCAGAAGCCAACACUUAGAGAUUCUCAAUAAAGGACAGAAAAAUUAUCGAAAAGAGCCACAUGGAAAUCAUGGAAUUGAAGAGUACAAUACUGGAAAUGGAAAACAUCACUUGCGGACUUAAACAGUGGAUUCAAAACAGCAGAAGAAUCUGUGAGUUUGAAGAUAGAGCAAUAGAAAUUAUUGCUCUGAAGAACAAGUUAAAAAAAAAAAAACCUGAAGAAAAUGAACAGAGCCUUAAAGGCCUGUGGGACACUGUCACAUCCCAGAGAAGAGGAGAGAAAGUGGCAGAAAAAAUAUUUCAAGAAAUAAUAGCUGAAACUUCCCAAAUAAGAUGUUUUGUAGACAUGGAUAAGGUAAUCCUAAAAUCAAAGUACCUAGGAUAGCCCAAAGAAUUUUGAAAAAGAACAACAUCAGAAGACUUCAUGCUACUUGAUUUCAAAACUUCAGUAAUCAGGGCGGUGUGACAUUGGCGUAAGGAUGGGCACAUAGACUGAUGGGUCAGAACUGAGAGUCUAGAAAUAAAUCCUUCUUUUAUACUCAGUUGAUUUUUGGCAAAGGUGCCAUGACAUUUCCGUGGGGAAAAGACAGUCUUUUCAACAAGCGGUGCUAGAACAGUUGUUCUCCAGAUGCAAAAGACAAAAAAGAACUAAGACCCUUACCUUACGAUGUGUAAGAAUGACUUCACAAUAGAUAAUAGACAAAAAUGUAAGAAAUAUAACUACAUAAACCUCUAGAAGAAAUUGUAGGAGAGACUCUUAGUCAUUUGGGACAGAAAGUUCUUACUCCAAAGACACUAUCCAUAAAAGACAAGAACAGUGUUAGUCUUCAAAAGUAAAAUACCUUGUUAUUUAGAAGACACCAUGAAGAAAAUGAAAAGACAAACCCACAAGCUGGGAGAAAAUAUUUCCAGCUCAUAGAUCCGAUAUAUGACUGGUAUAUGAAGAAUUCUUAAAAAUCAGUAGUAAUAAGAUAACUUAAUUUUACAAUGGGCAGAGGAUGUAGUGACUUAAUAUUUCAUCAGUUAUUAGAAAACAAAACAAUGAGAUACUACUUCACACUCACUGGAAUGACUAUAAUAAAAACAUUCAGAUAUGACCAUGUUUUAUUGAGGACGUGGGUAAAUGGAAAUCCUUGCCCAUUGUUGGUAGGAGUGUGAAAUAGUGCAGCCAGUUUGGAAAACAGCUGGGCAGGUGUUUCAUUUAUUUAUUUAUUUAUUUAUUUUUUAAGAUUUUAUUUAUUUAUUUGACAGGGAGAGACACAGCGAGAGAGGGAGCACAAGCAGGGGGAGUGGGAGAGGGAGAAGCAGGCUUCCCGCUGGGCAGGGAGCCCGAUGUAGGGGCUCGAUCCCAGGACCCUGGGAUCCUGACCUGAGCCGAAGGCAGACGCUCAACGACUGAGCCACCCAGGCGCCCAGGCAGGGUGUUUUAAAGUGGGGCACGUAUUUACCAUAUGACUCCGCAGUCCUCCCAGGAAUCUACCUAAGAGAAAUGAAAAGAAUGAAAUGUCCACACAAAAACUUGUGCAUGAACACUCACUGCCUUAUUUACAGUAGUCCAAAUAGUGGAAACAACACAAAUGUCCAUCAGUGGGUGAGUGGAAAAACAAAACAUGGCCUACCCACAGAAUACAGUUCAGCAGUUACACGGAAUUGACUACGGAUACCUGCAACAACAUGGAUAAACCUCGAAAGCCUGACGCUCGGUGAAAGCUGGCAUUUAGAAACAUCUGCCUGUGGCAUGAUUUCAUGUAUGUAGAAUGUCUACGGAAGUCACAUUCAUAGAAACACAAGGCAGGUUAGCAGGUGUGCGGGCUGGGGGCUGGAUAUGCAGAUCACCUGCAGUGGGUACAAGAGAACUUUUGGGAGUAAUGAAAACAUUCUAAAACUGGCUUGUGGUGGUUGUACACCCCCUGUAAAUUUACCAAAAUCAUUGAAUUUACACUUACAGAAAGUGAAUGUUACGGCAUGUAAAUUAACCCUUCAUUAAACUGUUGUUCAAAAGUGUGAUGCAGAGGCACCUAACUGGCUCAGUCAGUGGAGCAUGUGACUCUUGAUCUUGGGGCCAUGAGUUUGAGCCCCACGUUGGGUAUAGAAAUUACUUUUUUUAAAAAAGUGUAAUGCAGGCUAAAGUUCAGAAGCAGCACAAAAAUUCUUAAACUGGAAGCUUUGUUUGAGUUGUCUGCCCCUAAGUACUCUUACUUUGAGAGAUUUACAGCAAGUACUCAUGAGGUGAUCUCUUGUGAUUUUGGUUCUCAUCUUAAGUAUUCAGGGCAGAAUGAUGUUAAAAUGUGAGCAAGAAAAAUGUAAAAAUAAAGACAGUCACUUUGCUUUACAAUGAGUAGAGACAUGCUAAGUGCCCGUGUGUGUGAGACGGAAAGACUCUCAAGUCAUGAUGUAAACACAGAGGUUAAAUAUUUUAGAGUUACAAAGUCUCUGUCUAAACCAAACUGCUCUAGGUUGGUGCGGCUUAUUUUAUUUAACCUGAAAAGUUACACAGAUUAUUUAAAUGAAAGCAUGGGUGUAUUGUUAACAGAAGCAAUGGAAAUAAAUCCAUUCAUUGAAAAGAUUUCUGAAAUACACUUUUAAUUUUUACUUUUAAUUAGAGAAAAAUUAAAAUGCCAUUUUGUUUGGGAAUUUGUGGAUUAUGUGCAAACAGGCUCAUUUUAGGGUGUGAAAGGGUCCGGGUUGUUUCUUGAUAGAAGAACUUUUGCCCUUUCCUCUUUGAACCCCUAAGCUAUUGUUCAUCAUCUCCUGUUUUCCAAGCAGAAUUCUGUCUUGGUUUCAGUCUGUUCUCCGUGGUGGUGCACCUGUUAACAUAUUCAUCACCCCAGAAAAUUGUCAUGGAGUAUUUUGUCUGGCUCACAGAUCUCUGCUUCUUUAGCAAUCCCACUCUGUUCUGCUUUCUGCAUCUUUCAGAAUCAUACGUAAGGGAGUGUCACUGACCUGUAAUUUGCCACAGGAUUCUGCAUCAUCUUUUUAGUUAUAAAAACAAAAUUAAAUCUCUGUUGGAUAAUAGAGCACCUCUGCAAUAGUGAAAACAGUUUGGCGUUGACAGUCACAAGGCUGGAAUUGGAAUCCCAGACCCAGUGAUGACUAGCCUUGGGACUUUAGGGGAAUGAGUCUUUAAACCAUUGGCUCUCACGCGAGAGCAUCUGCUUAAUUGCCUGACAGGAUGAUUGUAACUUUAUUGAGAUAAUGAAUUUGUUAAGUUGUAUAGUUGUUAUUUAUUAUUCUUGUUCCUUGAAUGAGCACUACCUCUUUUAUAAUUAUGGAAUCAAUGUACUUAUUUUUCUAACUUUAAGCUAGUACUUAUUUUUUUUAAUUUCCAAAUACACUUUUUCUUUGUUGUUCUGGUCUUUUUUCCAUAUGACGUAAUUGUUUCAAAUGCAUUUAGCGUAAAAUAGUUCAUCAACAGGCAUUAAAUUACAUGUGCUCUAUGGCAAGCAUUCUGUGAGAGACCCUGUAGGGAUCUACAGAAGAAGUGUAUGCGAGUGCAUGUCCUUAAGGAACAUUUUACUCCAAAAGGGAGACAAACAUGCGUGAAAUAACUGGGACCCACUGAGUGCUGACUUAGCGGGGCAGGCCUCAGUAUUACCAGAGAACGAGUUCCUGACUCUGAAGGCUGGCAGGAAUAAUCAGAGGACUUCGCAGAGGAGGCUUUCAUUGUGCUGGGCCCUACAUCGUUGUCAGGAUGGGACCAGAGAAGACCCUGUCCGUGGGGGAACCAUGUGAGUCAGAGACCUGCCUGGGGGGCAGGAGUCUGAGGGUGAGGGUAGAAAAUGAGGCUGGGUGGGGUGACCACAAGCAUGGGGGUUUGGGUUCCAUAUGCUAAUUUGUGACCAGGUAUUUUUUUGAGCUCCUGUCAGGUCUCCAGGUGUAAACAAGGCCCACGUCAUAGCUGCACGAUACCUGCUUUCGUGGAGUUAUAAUCAACAUUGAAUCAGAAAUGAUGAUUAUGAAAAGAUCUUAUGAAGCAUACCUAGUUCCAUGGAGUCAGAGAGGGCUGCCUGAGGAGAUGGUGUUUGAACAGGAAUUCACAGGUUGAGAAGAGUCUUCUAAGCAGGAGAAUCCUCAGGGUUGAAGGCUCAGAGGUGGGAGAAAGCAACGUGAAAGCCUUUUAGAUACUGGGCAGGAAAGGGGCUGAAGGGGUGGAUGAGGAGAUAGUAAAUUAAACUUCGAGGCCUCCUUCUCACAGCCGCUGUGUGCCCAAGGCAGGGACUAGUUAUUAGUCACGGUGAGGAUCUAGGGUUUUGAAAGACGUGGGAGGUGUAGCCCUUGGCCAGUGAGGCUGAUGCCGCCUGACUCGAUGGCCUCCUCGGGCGCAGCGCUGUGCUAGGGGCUCUGUGGGUGUGGGGCCACCACACCGGGCAGCUGAGCAGCUCUGCUCCUCGACGGCUGCUGCUGGUAAGCAGCUAGAAAGUUGUUCCUGGCUUCUCUGCCUCCGAGUGUGGGCUCAGCAAACUCGGCAGGAAGCGUUGGGUGGGGGUGUGGUGGCCAAGCAAGCCUCACAGUGUGGGCUCCCUCCGCCGCCCGCCAGGUGAAGAGCCUGGAAGCAGGAAGGGCCUGGAACACUGGCCCCCUGGCUGAAUUCCAGUGGUGUCCGCAUUCAGGGUCAGGGAGACGCUGGUUAUAAGAAGAUCCUGUUUCAGGCCAGCCAAGUGACACUAGAUGGAGGCCUGAUAGCCUCUGGGGAAUGGGGUGAGCUUAGACAGCACCGGCUCAGCACCCACAUCAUCUCAAGCCUCUCUGGCCCCCGUCUUUUCAGCAGAGCAAUCCUCGACAUGCCGUAGCUCUCUGCUUGUACUCCAGAGAGAAUUCUGCCCUGAGAAGCACUUGCUGUCCUGCCUCAUUCCUGUGCUGCUCCUGCCUUCUCCCUCCCCAGAUGCCCUUCUAUCCUUGUCGUCUGUCCACGUGAGGCUCAAGGACGCUCGCCUCAGUCACUGGAUAUCCCCCCCGCAACCUAUAACUCAUAAUCUCAAGGAGUGGACCCAAAGAUCCAUGUCUCGGCCCUCCCCUGCUGGCCUGUCAGUUCUGCCCACCCUUCAUUUUAGUCGAGAAACCUUAGAUUAGCACCUCUCUAUGCUGUGCAUUGCGAUGUGAACUAAUAUGAAUUGGGAAGAGUCCAAAAAAAAAAAACCCCAAAGGCCUGGAUACGCCCUCGGUGCAUUACAGUCCUGGGCCUCGCGGUCUCCAGAGCGCCUUGUUGCCCCUCCUAGACGGUAUUGCCCUUCUCCUGUUAGGCUGUUACUUGCAUACUUGACUGGCAGAGGGAAAAAGGGCUGCAGGUUUCUGUACGUGGAAGCGUGUGUUUUUCUGUUCUCUGCAGUGGCCAGCAGAAUGCCUCAAGCAAAACAAGUGUGUACCGCACUGAAAUGAUUUUGUGAAGGUACUUAGUUCUGUUGAGCUUUCCUGUCACUUAAGCAUAGAGGGCUGACCGAAAAAUUACAGGUAGUUAAGUAUAAGUAUUUUGUGUUCUUGCUCUGUGAACGAUGUUCCAAGAGCUUGCCUGUGUUUGUCCUACUGAAUGCCCUUCAUCUGAUGCCUGAAGGACAUCUCUCCCAGCGCAGUGUCCGUGACAUCAUUGACGGGAAAGUCAGCUCAAUUUGUGGUUUUCUCCUUUACCUCUAGUUAGCAGGAGGAGUUCUUUGUAAUGUAGUUAGCGGAUGUGUGGUAGUAUAAAAGGAAGUUACAAGCUCUUGGAUAGUUUAAAAUAAUGUAUAUUUCUCUGAAAGUUAAGGAUUUAUUUUCUUGGAUUUUAAAAAUUUAAAAAUUUAUAUAGGCUUUACUGUUACUGUUUAUCAGUCUUAGAUUGUGUCAAACCGUUCUCAAGUUGGAUAUCUCUUACAGUUUUAUCUGUGGACAUUCUUUCCAUUGUUAGUAAAAAAAUGUUAUUUUUUUUUUGCAUCUUUGAUGAAGAUGCAACCAAGUAAUGUUGCUUUUCAGUCUUGGUAUCAAUCUGCAGUAUCAGGUGCUUCUUACUGUUCCUUUGGCUGCUUGAGCAGAAUUACUUGAAUGACCCUUUACCUUCUUUUUUCCAUCAUAUUCUCUUAAAGAAAAAGAAAACCUCUGUAGCUUUAUAUUGUCAAGCAAUAAAUAGAAAAACAUCACUUUGUGCAAGAUAGAAAAUUCACUUUGUGAAUAUAAAAAAAUCACUUUAUGAAAGCAAGUAAAGAUAAAUCAUAAACAUGUUGCAAAAUAUCUUUAAAUAACAGUAAUUUGGGCCACUUAGUGUCAAUCUAGUAUCUUUAUCCUAAAAAAACCCAUCAAGAAAAUAAAUAAGAGUCACACUGUUGUUUUACUGUUUAAAGUUUUUUUGUUCUAAUUGAAUAUGGAUUUAAUUGCCUCAGAAAAGAUGGAGCCUACAGUUUAAAUGUACUGCUGUGGCAGGAAAUAAGAAUUUAAAUCGCAUGUAUUUUUUUGCCUGAGUUGCAAAUAUUUCUCCUACUAUCUUCCAUGUGAUCCAUACAAUCUUUAGAAAAUGCGGGAUUAUCAAAAAAUAUAUAUAUAAAACUGAAACACUUAAUGGAACAGAGUAGAAAGCUCAGAAAUAAACCCACAACUACGUGGUCAAUCUUUGACAAAGCAGAGAAGAAUAUCCAAUGGGAAAAAGACAGUCUUUUCAACAAAGAGCAUUGGGAAAACUGGACAGCAACAUGCAGAAGAAAGAAAGUGGACCACUUUCCUAUACCACACACAAAUAUAAAUUCAAAAUAUGUUAAAAAAGGCCUAAAUGUGAUACCUACAACCAUAAAAAUCCUAGAAGAAGAUAUAGACAGUAACCUCUUUGACAUUGGCUGUAGCAACUUUUUUCUAGAUAUUUCUCCUGAGGCAAGGGAAGCAAAAACAAACUAUUGGGACUUCAUCAAAGUAAAAAUCUUCUGCACAGAGAAGGAAACAAUCAACAAAACUAAAAGGCAACCUACAGAAUGGGAGAAGAUACUUGCAAAUCAUGUAUCUGAUAAAGAACUAGUAUCUAAAAUAUAUAAAGAACUUAUCAAACUCAACACCUGAAAAACAAUCCAAUUAAAAAAUGGGCAGAAGACAUGAACAGCCAUUUCUCUAAAGAAGACGUCCAAAUGGCCAACAGACACAUGAAAAGAUGCUCAACAUCACUCAUCAUCAGAGAAAUGCAAAUCAAAACCACAAUGAGAUAUCACCUCGCACCUGUCAGAAUGGCUAAAGUCAGAAACACAAAAAACAACAGGUGUUGGUGAGGAUGUGGAGAAAGCAGAACCCUCUUGCACUGUUGGUGGGAAUGCAAACUGGUGCAGCCACUCUGGAAAACAGUAUGGAGGUUCCUCAAAAAGUUAAAAAUAGAACUACCUUAUGAUCCAGCAAUCACAUUACUGGGUAUUUACCCAAAGAAUAUAAGAACACUAACUCAGAGAGAUACAUGCAACCCUAUGUUUAUAGCAGCCGAGAUAGGGAAGCAGCCCAAGUGUCCACUGACUGGUGAAUGGAUAAAGAGUAGUUGGGGGGGGGGGGUGUAUAAUGGAAUAUUACUCAGCUAUCAAAAAGAAUGAAAUCUUGCCAUUAUCGAUAACAUGGAUGAAACUAGAGACUAUACUGCUAAGGGAAAUGAGUCAGAGAAAGACAAAUACCAUGUGGAAUUUAAGAAACAAACGAGCAGGGGGGGCGGGAAACAAACCAAGAUACAGACUGUUAACUAUAGAGAACAAGGUGAUGAUCACCAGAGGGGAGGGAGUGGGGAAACAGGUGAUGGAGAUUAAAGAGGGUGCUUAUGGUGAGCACUGGGUGUUGUAUGGAAUUCUUGAGUCACUAUUUUGUACACCUGAAACUAAUAAACACUGUAUGUUUACUGGAGUUAAAAUAAAAACUUCAAAAAAAUAAAACAGAAACACUUAGGCCAUAGCUUCUUAAAAAUAAAAAUUGCUUAUAAAGUAUAACUGCUGAUGGUUCUGUUCAGAAACCUUCCCAAAAGCUCUGACGUUUUCCUUUGUGUCUCUGAAUCCUUAUUGAAGUAGAAGCGAGGAGUCCAUCCAUCUGCCAGAGACUUGAGACAGUCUGUCCACUCACCUUCGUGUCUCACUCUGACCUUGCACGCUCUGUCUCCUGAGGGGCCUGCUUCAACUCGCCACUUGGUUUGCCGUUUUACCUUCCUUGUGCUUAUCUUUCCCUCACCGGCAGCAGAAGGGAGGAAGAAGCCAAAGUAACGUAAAGGAUCAGCCGAGGUUUAGAACACUGGCUUCGAAAGCAGGUCCGUAAUUGACAGGAUGGAAGACGCGGUUUCCUUGGUAGCUGUCCCUGGGCCGACGGGGAGGCCUGGUGGGGAGGUCUCACAACUCUCCGCACUUGAGGUUUGUCAGAGCGGGGGGCCCCGGAGAGGCAGGAGAAUGCUCUGUCCUGUGGGACUGUCCUCCGCAUUGGAUGAGAGCUGCGUCCCCAGUCCCAUGCCUGCAGAGCCCAGUGACAGCUGUCCACGUGAACAGCCACGUACAACCUGUCCCCGGAGUCUGCGGACAGGCUCUGCCCCACUGAGACCCAGUGUCACCUUCCAGGUUUGUGGUGCCUUUGGAGCAGGAAUGCAGAGGGGUCCCUUGGCGGGGGGGGGGGCGUGGGAAUGGCCGAACGAUGAAGGAAAGGGGACAGGCUUAUGUAACUCCUGCUAGUUCCACCCUCCACCUGCUGUCCUUUCCGCCCGACCUGGGCCAACUUUUUCAUCUUUCUCCCAAUGCAGAUCUGCUGGGCAUGAGUUCUCGCAUCACUCACCUAUCUGAAAACGUCUUUUUUCUGCCAUUGCUUUUCAGGGACAUAGACACAGAGUUCUGAGCUGACAGCGCUUUCCACACUUUAAAAAGUGUUGUUACUUUGUUUUCCAGCCUCUGUUCUUCCUGGUGAAAGAUGUUCUCUUUUAUAUAAUGUCUUUUUUUUAAUUGUAUUUUUUUUAGAACGGUGUUACAGAAAAAUUGCAAAGACGGUACAAAGAAUGCCCCCAGGUUCCCCUGUUAACCUCUUAACGUUAGUUUGGUACCUGUGUGAUAACUAGCAACCCAGUCAGCACAGGUACGCAGUCAUUAACCAACGUCCGUGCUUUAUUCAGAUUUCCUUAGCUUUUACAUAAUGUCCAUUUUCUGUGCCAGGAUCCAGCCCAUGAGGGGGGGUCCCUGUGUCUCCUUUGUCUCUGGCUGCGACAGUUUUAUAGACUUCCCUUGUGUUUUGACAGUUUUGAGGACUCCUGGUCAGGUAUUGUGUAGCAUGUUCUUCAACUGGGAUUUGAUGUCGUUCUCGUGAUUAGACUGAGGAUAUGGGGCGUUGAGAGGAACAUCACAGGGUCCACACUGUCAACAUGAAUGGUCACUGUCACCUGGCUGUUUGUCGGGCUUCUCCACCGUGAAGCUCCUUGUUUCUCUUGUCCAUGCGGUACUCUCUAGAAGGAGGCCACUGUGCACAGCCUACGCGUAAGGAGUAGGGAGUAUUACUUGGAAUUACUCUGCAUGAAUGAUUUGUUUCUUCUCCAUUUCUUAAUUUAUUCAGUCAUUUAUUUAUAUCAGUAUGGACUUGUGGAUAGUUAUUUUAUACUUUGUGAUAGAACACAGUGCUAUUUUGCUUAUUUCUGUUGCUCACACUAUUCCAUCUUUGGCCCUUGGGAGCACUUUCUCUUGGCUCCGGGUCCUUAGACAUACACUCAUUACCAUUGGUAUUGGGGUUUUUUAUUUGUUUUGUUUUUGAGCACUUUCUUCCUUUCUGGUGCUCUGAGGUGCUCUAGGCUCAUCUUGUAUGACUUCCUGUCCCAGCCCGAGAAUCGGCUGUUUUCUCCCAGGGACCCUGGUUUCCAUUGAUCAGAGAAGGGCAUUAGAAACCAACUCCGGGCAUUAAAUGUGCUCGUUACUGUUGUGGUUUUGUUGCGUCUGGGCCCUCUCAGCUGACAGAGCAAGGGAAUGUGUAUGUAUACCAACCCUUGUAUGUACACGUAUCUGUAAAUACUUCUGUAUGUAACCUUCCAUAUCUGUAUUGAGCUAAGAACGAGUCCGUACCCAUGUCUCCAGCUCCAAUCCAUGACCACAUGGAUCAUUCUAGCCUCCUCCACCCUUGUAAAGUCCCACCCCGACUGAGAAGCCUGGCUCCCACCACCCACCAUCCAUUUUCUUGUUGAGUUCACUGAGCGCUCUCGGACUUACAGAUUCUUAAACAUAAAUAACAGUCUGCAGGCUUUUAGAGUGCUGGUGCUUGGUGCGUAUCUUUUCUGGGUGGAAUGCCUCAGUACUUAACCUUUCUCUCUCCUCCCAUUUAAAAUGCUUCUGUCGGGGCACCUGGGUGGCUCAGUUGGUUAAGCGACUGCCUUCGGCUCAGGUCAUGAUCCUGGAGUCCCAGGAUCGAGUCCUGCAUCGGGCUCCCUGCUCGGCAAGGAGUCUGCUUCUCCCUCUCAUGCUCUCUGUCUCUCAUUCUCUCUCUCUUUUAUAAUAAAUAAAAUCUUUUUUAUAAAUAAAUAAAUAAAUAAAAUAAAAUGCUUCUAUCAAAAAUUUGUAAGAGCAGUCUUCCUCUCUGGGCUCAGACCUAGUUCGCGGCGACAUGGCUAAACGCACCAAGAAGGUCGGAAUCGUGGGUAAAUACAGGACCCGUUAGGGUGCCUCCCUCAGGAAAAUGGUGAAGAAGAUUGGAAUGAGCCAGCACGCCAAGGAAACUCGCUCCUUCUGUGGCAAAACAAGAUGAAAAGAUGAGCGGUGGGGAUCUGGCACCGUGGCUCCUGCAUGAAAACCGUCACUGGAGGCGCCUGGACCUACAGCACUGCUUCUGCCGUCACAGUGAAGUCGGCCAUCAGACGACUGAAGGAGUGGAAAGGCCAGCAGAAGCUCCACCAUUUGAAACAUAGCUAGCCUAUAAUAAAUGGGUUCAUUUAUGUAACAACAACAAAACAUUUUGUAAGAAAAUACAAAUGUAAGUAUCUUAACUUGAAAAUGACAUGAAACUAGGUGGAUCUUGGAAUACACGAAACAACAGAAAGAAGGUAUUCAUUAAGUUAACCUGCAAAUGCGUUCAAAAACUUAGUAACAAGAGUUUGUGGAGACUUGGGUUAAGUAACAGGUCCAGCAGAGAAUCCGUGGGAACCUUCUAUCCUGUAAUCCCUACAUGCCCUAGCGUGUGCCAUGGCUCCCAAAAUACAUAUUGAAAGCUUGGGCCGUAUCCUUGGGACAUAAUAUUCAGAUGUGGGAAGAGGUUAGCCUCCUACUGCUCUUGAUAAUGGAUGUGUUGUAUUCAUUUUUAGCAUUUUAUUUAUUUUUUAAUAUUUUUGGAUUUUAUUUAUUUGACAGAGACACAGCAAGAGAGGGAACAGAAGCAGGGGGAAUGGGAGAGGGAGAAGCAGGCUUCCCGCCGAGCAGGGAACCCGAUGCGGGGCUCGAUCCCAGGACCCUGGGAUCACGACCUGAGCCAAAGGCAGACACUUAACGACUGAGCCACCCAGGCAUCCCUAUUGUAUCUAUUUUGUUGUUUUGUUUUUUUAAGAUUUUAUUUAUUAGAGCACAAGUUGUGGCAGAGGGAGAGGGAGAAGCAGACUCCCCGCUAAGCAGGGAGCCCGAUGCGGGGCUCGACCCCAGGACCCUGGGAUCAUGACCUGAGCCGAAGGCAGACGCUUAACGACUGAGCUACCCAGGCACCCCCACAUUUUAUUUUAAUAAAAACAUUGAAAAACUGCUGUCCACAAGUGAACAGGAUGGAAAAGAUCUGUGAACAGUGUUUUACCAUUUGGAAUUUAAGCAUGAAAAUGAAUAAUGACAGUAAUGAUUUUAUUAGCCCAUUAAAUAAUAUAGGAACAUGAGUUCAUACUAAUCUUUUUUUUAUAUAAGAUUUUAUUUAAGAGAGAGAGAAAGCGAGCACAUAAGCAGAGGGGAGGGGCAAAGGGAGAGGGAGAAGCAGAGCCUGAUUUGGGACCCUGGGAUCAUGACCUGAGCUGAAGGCAGACGCUCACCUCACUGAGCCACCCAGGCGCCCCGAGUUCAUACUAAUCUAAAAAGUAAAAGUGUAUUGAAAUCUUGAUGAGGAGUGGAGUAUUUACCGAGUCUCAAAGUACCUCCGCACAGAAUACUUAGGAGUUACAAAGAGGGGAAAGAGUGACUUCUCAGUGGAAAUGCCUGGAGAGCAGCCCUUUGGGAAACCACUCAAUCAGGGUGAACUUCCACUGUAUUGGGCUGUGUCCUCACUGUGCACCACCUGCUAGCACGUGCCGAAGAGAGCACAGCCUCACUUCUUCUGGUGUUGCUGCCAGGAGUGCAUGACCUGAGUCUAGCCCUGCGGACACACCGGCUCCGUCCAGACAGAGGGGCUGUAUGUCAUCUUCCCAAGUGUCGAGGUCAGGGACAUCGGGGGGCAUCUGAGAGACUGUUCCAGGCUGACAGAGAGCAACGAGAUGUGACGGCUGAAUGCAGUUCGUGCGGCUCUGAUCCCGAUCUGCUCUAGGACGUUGGGAAACUGGGGACGCUUGAAUGGACUCUGAGAUUAGGCAGCAGUAAUGUCAGCACGCACUUCCCAGUUUGCGUGGUUGUGCUCUGUUUAUAAAUGGUUUUUGUUUGUAGAAGACACACUGAAUGUUUGGAGGGGAUGACACAUCGUGCCAGUAACUUCCUCUUGAAUGAUUUGGGGGGAAAGAGGUUUUUAUACCAUACUUCCAGCUCUUCUGUGUUAGAGUCUUGAAAAAUAUUUGUAAAUGAAUAAUCUGGGGCUCUAGGAGGAGUUAGUGUGGAGAAAAGCCCGAGGUGGAGUCCCAGAGAAGAGGCCUUGGACUAUCCGAAUGAAGGACUGCUGCAUGGGAGAGGAAUUUCCCUCCAUUCUGGGACGUUCAGCUUGAGGUUGGGGUGUUUGUUAUAUUUGGUGACAUCUUACAGUUUAUUGGCAGGAUUUUUCCUUCUUGAUACGUAACAGUAAUGAUGCACCUGACAGUUGAUGGUAUUUUACACCAUUGAUACAUGAAAUACAGUUUAUUUGCUUGGUGGUGCUUUUCGAGCAAAGAGAACCAAGAGCCAUGAAUGGGCAUUUAGGAAUCAAGAUUUUAAUUAUAAGGAAGACCUUUCUAAUACUUAAAACUGCCUGUGGAUAGAGCUAGCUACCUCAGCCGGUCGGGAGUUACUUGUAUUGUGUUGAAGAUGACCCCUAAGAACUCUCUUAACUAAAAGAUUCUCUGACCUCUGCUGACUGAUGAUUGUCUCCCCAGUUACCCCCUCCCUUCAUUUCUGCCUCUAGAUGAAGGAAGAAAGUGGCUUUCUCUUUUGUGCGGGCCUUUGCUCCUGCCGUCUUUUCUU